AAGAAAGAAGGUUUCCACUCCCAGAAUUGUCCCAGGAUUGCUCUGAAAGCCGUGAUGAAAAUGCUUCACUGAGGAGCUACAAAUAUGAUUGAAACAAAUGAAAAACUGUGAAGCCUCAAAAAAGAAAUGGAAAGUCUCAGCCAAGAAGAAUGGAGAAGGAGGAAUAAAAGGAGGGGAAGGAGAGAGGAGGAAGAAGAUAUAAAGAAGAACUAAAUGAUAACCAAUUUUCCUAGCACUGUUUGUGGAAUAAUCUACCCAUUCCCCACUGGAAUCACCGUAUAACCUCUGACAUACACCAAGUUUCUAUAUGUAAGUGAGUCUGAUUUUUGGCUUUCGAUUCUGUUUUACUAGUCAAUGUAUUUAUUUAAUCCUACACCAGUGGCUCAUCCUGCAGUCAUAUAGCUUUUAAUGAAUUCCGCUCAUCGAAAGAGCAAGUCUUUCUUCCCAACCUUUCUUCCCAACCUUGAUCUUCUUCAGGAGUGUUUGUCAAGUUCCUCUAAAAAUCUUGUUGGGAUCUAGACUGGAAUUUGUACUGAAUGUAUAGAUCAAUUUGAGAAGAAAUUACUUUUCUUUAAAUAUUGAGUUUUCCUAUCUAUUGAAAUAGUAUAUCUCUGAAUUUAUCUAAAUCUCCUUUAAUGUAACAUAAUUAUCUUAUUACAUGUAUUCCUAAGUACUUUGUUUGUUUUGUGGAUUCUGUCAAUAUCAUCCAUUUUUGUAGUAUAUUCUCUCAACUAUUUGUUGCUAGUUGAAGUAGACAUAGUGAAUUGACCCUCAGUUUUAUUACCAGCCUUUUCCAGAGUCACCACCUGAUUGCCAUUGUCAUUCCCAGAAGAGGAUGGACAGCUAAAAUCUACAUCUUGCAGAUUCUCAAGUUAGUUUUAUCUUUAUGAAUAGCUUCCACCAAUUAUAUACAUUUAUGGGAGAUUCGGAAGGCAAAAGUAAGACAGAAAUCGGCUGGGCACAAUGGCUCACGCUUGUAAUCCCAGCACUUUGGGAGGCAGAGGUGGGCGGAUCACUGGAGGCCAGGAGUUCUAGACCAGCCUGGCCAACAUAGUGAAACCUGUCUCUACUAAAAAUAGAAAAAAAUUAGCUAGGCAUGGUGGUGCACACCUGUAACCCCAGCUACUCAGGAGACUGAGGCAUGAGAAUCGCUUGAACCCAGGAAGCGGGGGUUGCAGUGAGCCGAGGUUGCAGUGAGCCACAAUUGCCACUGCACUCCAGCCUAGACAACAGAGUGAGACUCUGUUUAAAAAAAAAAAAAAGUAAGGCAGAAAUCACCUUUCUGUUGCUUCGGUGGUUUUCGGCAAAUAGGCAAGGUCACUGAGGUAUGAAAUUUGUCUGCAGCUCUGUUCUAGGAUCCAGUCAUAUUUCACAGGUGCUGAGUUUGAAAGGCAACUGAAGAAGUGGUUUUCUGAUUUCAGAGUCCUGAACUGCAGCUUUAGAGAUUGCUAGGGUCUGAACGUUUGUGUCCUCCCUACAUUAGUAAGUUGAAACCUAAUCGGCAAUGCGGUGGUAUUAGGAGAUGCGGUCUUUGGGAGAUGAUUAGUUCAUGAGGGUGGAGCCCUCAUGAGUUGGAUUAAUGUCAUUAUAAAAGGGCUACCAGAGAGCUUCCCUGCCUUUUCCACCACAUGAGGAUGCAGGGCCCUCACCAGGCACUGGAUCUGCUGGAGCCUUGAUCUUGGACUUCCCAGCCUGUGAGACAGACAUUUCUGUUGUUUAUAAGCAGUUUGUAGUAUUUUGUUAUGGCAGCCUGAGCAGACUAAGACAGUGCUAUAUUCCUAAAUGACAGUGGCAGUCUUCUGAUUCUCUAAGUUACUUACUGUUGUCUUCUUUGAAGGGUAAUUUCUGUUUUUCUGAGAUUCACGCUGAAAAGCCCAGAUCUUCUAAUGAUUUCAUAAGCAUCUAAUCUCCUCUAUUAAAUCUGUUUCUAUUUAAAUAACUUAGAGUGGUUUCUAUUUCCUGGUUGUUAACUAAUAUAUAGGAAUACAACUGAUUUUUAUAUUUACAUAUUCAUUUUUUAAAAUGUAACAACCUUGCUGGACUCCUUUUUUUUUUAAGUGCUAGAAUUACAGGCAUGAGUUACCACAACCAGCCCUCUUUUUAAAAAUUUUAAUUGUUUACCUAUAAUUCUUUUGAAUUUUCUAUGUACAUGACCACAGCAUCUGCUAGCAUUGACUAUUUUUUAAAAUUUUUGUGUCUUUAAUCUAUUUUUCUUGCCAUACUGAACUGGCUAGUACUCCAGCAGAGAGCUGGUUGAAAUAAAAUAGAAGUUUAUUUGCAAAUGUCUAUUUUAAUCUCAUUCUUAAAAGGAAAGUUUUUGGCAUUUCACCAUUAGGUGUGAUAUUUGCAGUAAAGUUGUUAUUAUUAUUUGAGAAUAAUCUUUAUCAGUUUAUGAAAGUUUGGUUUUAUUUCUGAUUUUGUAAGAGUUAUGUUUUAAAUUAUAGAUGCAUAUUAAAAUUCAUUAAAUGCUUUCUGUGUAUCCAUUGAAAUAUUCAUCUAAUUUUCUUCUUUAAUCUAUUCAUUUAGUAGAUUACAAUUAUUUAUUUCUCAUAUGAAAGCAACCUUACAUUCCUGGGAUAAACUCACUCGAUCAUGGUGUAUUCACUUGUUUAUAUAUUGGCUAAUAUGUUAGGAGCUUUUCUGAGGUAUAAUUAGCAUAAUAAACUGCACAUUUAUUAUUUAAAUGUGCAAUUUGAUAAAUUUUGAUGUGUGCAUACACUCAUGAAACCAUCAUCACAAGCAAGAUAAUGGACAUAUUCAUCACUCCAAAAAGUUUCCUUAUGCCCCUUUAUAAUCUCUUUCUCCCACCCUUCUUUUUUAUCCCUAAGGAUACACUGAUUUGCUUUCUGUCACUAUAUAUGGGUUUGAAUUUCCUGGAAUUUCACAUAAAUGAAAUGAUACAAUAUGUGCUCAGUUUUGCGUGACUUCUUUCCCUCAGCAUAAUUAUAAUUAUUUACAGAUUCGUCUAUGUUUUAUUGCCUGUAUCAAUAGUACAUUCCUUCUUAUUUUUGAAUAGUAUUCCGUUUCAUGGUGAUACCACCAUUUGUUUAACCAUUCACCUGUUGAUGGAUAUUUGGAUUGUUUCUUCAUUUUGGCUGUUACAAAUAAAGCUUCUUGAAUAUUUGUGUACAGUCUUUGAAUAAACAUGUUUUCUUGUGUUUUCUUUUUUAUGGGAUAUCCAGAUAAACAUAUGUAUUCAUUUCUAGAAGUAGAAUGACUGAAUCAUAUGGUUGGUAUACAUUUCACUAUUUAACAUACUGCCACACAG
rnacentral:lncRNA from 1 species